rnacentral:misc_RNA from 1 species
AGAAGAACUGCUCAAACCUGUGGUAUUUACUCCAUUACUCCACUCCUUUGUUAUUCUUGGGAAUAUUAUAAAAUUCUAGAAUAUGGCAAUAGUCUUUCAUGUGCUUGAGUCCCAACUCCUAAGUGUGCUUCGUGUCCUAAGGCAUUAAGUUCCAGUUGAUUAUAUUUAUUUCUACUUGUUAUGACUGUUUGAAGAGCAAAAACAUCAUGAAAAUUCUAGGCACCAUGUGGUUAAACUUGUGGAAAAUCUGCUUGCUACUUUAUUGUCUGAGAACGAGUCUAGCCGUGUAGGAACAACUUUGUAGGCAAUAACUUCCACGGAAGUUAUGUGUUUAUUAUUAAGGUGGGUUUUCAGUUAAUGUUUCAGUCAAUUAAGUGCCAGCAUCUGUUGCUCUGUAUAAAUGGAGAACAAAAGCAUUCAGUCCCAGACGUGCUAAUUGUUCUGUAAAACAUUUCCCUUUUUGAGCCACAAGACAAAAACAUUGUAUGGUCUGUAGAACUAUUAUAAUUACAAGUCGUUUGAAGAGUUUAUUCUUUCUAGAAUUUUUUUGCAAGCGCUCCUUUAAAGUUUCAGCCAAAACAUUAGUUGGGUGAAAUGAGGAGCAGUUCACAAGUCGACUUGCUUCGGUUUGAGUGAAGUAAUGAUUCAUUUUCCAAGCCUUUGUUCAUGGCUCAUGCAUUCCAUCCUUCAUGCCAUAUUUACUACUAUACAUGGUGGGAUUUGAUGGGAAAUCAGCGUUUCAAUUUUUAUUCUCUUGGGUAAAUUGCCUUUUUCCAUAUGCAGGAUGAGUCACAAGAUUUUAUCAAGAGGCAGCAAUUGCGGGAACUAGCCAUGCUUAAUUCAAAUUACCGAGAAGAGAGUCCUGGACCAAGUGGUAGUGUCUCUCCUUUCAAUACUAGUGGAAUGAAACGCGCAAAAACAGGACGCUGAGAGAUCAUAUUCAUGCCUACUUCAGCAUGUAUUGGCAUUCAUCCUGCUACAGAAUUUCAUGGUUGAGUAUAGCUUCCAAUACAUGUCAAUUCAGCACAUCUACAAAGAAUAGGCUAACAGUUAUUGCUGGUGAGCUUUCUGGUGGGGGUUUUCCUUUAUUUUUGUAUUUUUUUCCUCCCAAUAUAAAAGACAAAAAAGCAUUAUUUAAAAAAAAGGAAUUAUUUAGCUAGUUCUUGAGUUUAGGCUUGCUGAGGUCAGUUCUUAUUUUCCCCACCUUCAAUGUAAACUGUAAUAUAUUCAUUGGAUUUAUUCUUGUUGUAGAAACUUGGAAGAGUGUGAAAUAUAUCAAUGUUGUAAGGGGCUAGGUAUUAAAGACAAUUGAGUCCUGAGUUUGGUAGUUGUCAUCAUUUUUCAUAGUGAUUUAAAAAAAAAAAAAAACUUUUUGGAACCUUAAAAAUCAUUGAUUUCAGUCCAUAUGCUGAAGCAGAACUUCCACCAAAUAAGCUUUCAUCAAGAGACCAGAUUAAGGGGAAAAAAAAUAAAGCCCUAAGGUUUCCAAAGACUUUCACCCCCUUACAAGAAGAGUAAUUAAGAUCAAUCAUAACAGAAUUGCCUUGGUUUUGUCAAAGGUGUGUACCCGUGUGCGUGUGUACUUAAC